ensembl:lncRNA
UUUUUGUUUUUUUUUGAGGAAGAACAGUUAUUUCAUACUGUUUGCCUUGUUUAACAAUUUAUAGUUAAAAUAAGUUUAUGUUAUGCCUUAAGAACAGAAGACUGUACAGAUGCAUAAGAAAGUAUAUAUCAGAUGUUAUUUUAACAUCUCAUAUUUCAUUGGAAUGUAUUCUGUCAAUGUAGAUUUUCUACAGAAAAAUUAGAGAAUUAUGAAUGUAAUUACGAAUGUUAUUGUGUACAAAUUUAACAAAUGUUUUGCUACAGACAGAGAGGAUAAUUGAAAGAAUAUACACAGUAACACAGCUGCCUAGGGUUUCCCUGGACAACACAUCUUACGUUCUUGAAGUUUUGACCCCUGAGCUAACACUGUUAAUGCUGUAAAAGACUGAGGGCUUUCACAGGUUACAGGCAGAAAUGGCUUUACAGUCAAACAUUGCUUUGGAGUAAGUCUUUCUUUUACUGUUGUUUUUUCAUUCAUCCUUAAAACAUGUCUGAAAAGCUUAUAUCCGUGUUUUAUUUCUCUUUUAAAGGGUCAAAUGUUUAAAUCCACCAUGGUUUUGAUGGCACUUCAUCAGUAGGAGUGUAAUCCUGUAUGAAGAGGGUGGCCCGCUGAACAACUGUACUUUAGGCCAAAAGUUCUUGUAGCCCUGUCUAGUAGCCCUGUCCCCAUAUUCUUUCACAUUUCUCCUAGUAGUUUAAGAUCAAUAAUAUCACUGACAUUGAAGACUGUAUGUAAACAUUGUUAUUGAAAUAUUGAUUUAGAUACAGUACCAGUCAAAAUUUUGGACACAUUACUACUAGUCUCUUAUUAUCAUCAAGCCUGCUCAAAGCCAAUUUGAUCAAAAAUACUGAAAGCCCAGUAAUAUUGUGAAAUAUUACAAUUAAAAAUAAUAGCUUUCUAAUUUAAUAUUCUUUAAAAUAUAAAUUUUUUCAUGAUCAAAGCUGAAUUUUCACCAACCAUUACUCCAGUCUUCAGUGUCACAUGAUCCUUCAGAAAUCAUUCUAUGAUGAUUUGCUGCUAUUAUCUGUAUUGGAAACAGUUGUGCUGCUUAAUAUUAUUAUUUGUUUUGUGUGAUACUUUUUCAGGAUUCAAUGAUCAAUAAAAAGUUAAAAAGAACAGCA